AUUGAACGCUGGCGGCAGGCCUAACACAUGCAAGUCGAGCGAGCGGCGGAAGGGUGAGUAAUGUAUGGGGACUGCCCGAUAGAGGGGGAGAACUACUGGAAGCGGUAACUAAUACAGAAUACUAUCGGAUAACCCAUAUGGGAUUAGCUAGUCGGUGAGGUAAUGGCUAACCUAGGCGACGAUCCCUAGCUGGUCGUACAGGAUGAGCAGCCACACUGGGACUGAGACACGGCCCAGACUCCUACGGAGGCAGCAGUGGGGAAUAUUGCACAAUGGGCGCAAGCCUGAGGCAGCCAUGCCGCGUGUAUGAAGAAGGCCCUAGGGUUGUAAAGUACUUUCAGUCGGGAGGCGUUACCGACAGAAGAAGCACCGGCUAACUCCGUGCCAGCAGCCGCGGUAAUAC
rnacentral:rRNA from 1 species